GAUGAACGCUAGCGAUAGGCUUAACACAUGCAAGUCGAGGGACCGGCGCACGGGUGCGUGACGCGUAUGCAACUUGCCUCACAGAGGGGGAUAACCCGUCGAAAGACGGACUAAUACCGCGUACUGUGAGAUAGGCAUGCGUCCCAUUAGCUAGUUGGUGAGGUAACGGCGCACCAAGGCAACGAUGGGUAGGGGAACUGAGAGGUUGAACGCCCAGACUGGUACUGGGACACGGCCCAGACUCGUACGGGAGGCAGCAGUGAGGAAUAUUGGUCAAUGGGCGAGAGCCUGAACCAGCCAAGUCGCGUGAAGGAUGACUGUCUAUGGAUUGUAAACUUCUUUUGUAGGGGAAUAUGUACCCUACGAAUAAGCAUCGGCUAACUCCGUGCCAGCAGCCGCGGUAAUUC
rnacentral:rRNA from 1 species